rnacentral:misc_RNA from 1 species
AAAACCCAAACAGUGCUACUACAAUCCAGCAAGAGACUGAGAGGGAAACAGAACAAAUUCUAAACGCCAUAUUACUGGAUGGUCCUUAUCUCCGCUCGUACUUGUACCAUUUUUGAGCUUUUACACUGGAUACAAAGAGGGAGAGAGGAGGCUAGGGGACAUCACACGAUCCGGUCAUAAUCUUUUUAUCGCUGUUGCCCCACGAGAAGAGAGAAAGGGGACGAUCAAUCAUGCCAUCAGGUGCGAAGAAGAGAAAAGCAGCUAAGAAA